AGGUCUCCGCGACCACAGGGCUGGGGCGACCAGAAAAGCCAGACUAAGCAGGGCGAGUUCAGGCGUGCAAUUGGGCCUGAAGCUCUCACGCCCAGCUAGGCCUGAAUGUCCCAGACCCCACCGUCACCCCCGUGGCCUGGAUGGAGCAGGGGACGGCCGGCGAAGGCGCGGGGUGGAGGGGGAGCGGCGACGAAGGCGCGAGGAGCUGACUGGGAAUCCCCGAGCUACCCGAGGCAAGACACUGAACUUGAGUCGCACUUUUCAUGCCUGUAAAAAUGAGAAUGACAGCUGUGAUAAAAAUUCAUCUGGGCGAUAUCUGGAACGUGUAAGGUGAAAGAGAAUGAAAGACGUAGAUAACCUCAAAAGUAUAAAAGAAUGAGUCUCGCUCUGUCGCCAGGCUGGAGUGCAGUGGCAUGAUCUCGGCUCACUGCAACCUCCGCCUCCCAGGUUCAAGCGAUUCUUCUGCCUCAGCCUCCUGAGUAGCUAGGACUACAGGGUUUGUGAAACAGGAUCUGAUAAUCAACCUCUUGAUAAUAAUCAACAAUCAAAUUGUGAAUAUUUUGUUGAUAGCCUUUUUGAGGAAGCUCAGAAGGUUAGUUCCAAAUGCGUGUCUCCUGCUGAACAGAAGAAACAGGUAGAUGUAAAUAUAAAAUUAUGGAAAAACGGAUUCACCGUCAAUGACGAUUUCAGAAGUUAUUCCGAUGGUGCCAGUCAGCAGUUUUUGAACUCCAUCAAAAAGGGGGAAUUACCUUCAGAAUUACAGGGAAUUUUUGAUAAAGAAGAGGUGGACGUUAAAGUUGAAGACAAGAAAAAUGAAAUAUGUUUGUCUACGAAGCCUGUGUUCCAGCCCUUUUCAGGACAGGGUCACAGACUAGGAAGUGCCACACCAAAAAUUGUUUCUAAAACAAAGAAUAUUGAAGUUGAAAAUAAAAAUAAUUUGUCUGCUGUUCCACUGAACAACUUGGAACCCAUUACUAAUAUACAGAUCUGGUUGGCGAAUGGAAAAAGGAUUGUCCAGAAAUUUAACAUUUCUCAUAGAGUAAGCCAUAUCAAAGACUUCAUUGAAAAAUACCAAGGAUCUCAAAGAAGUCCUCCAUUUUCCCUGGCAACAGCUCUUCCUGUCCUCAGGUUGCUAGAUGAGACACUCACACUGGAAGAAGCAGAUUUACAGAAUGCUGUCAUCAUUCAGAGACUCCAAAAAACUGCUGCAUCUUUUAGAGAACUUUCAGAGCACUGAUUUUUGAUAGACUAAGUGGAAAAUUUGCAGAGAAAUGAUGGUUGUAAGUGGACAUGCAAACCAAAAUUGGGGAUUGGAGAAGUCAGACUCACUAGACUUUUGGUUCGAGUACUAUUGAACUCUCUCCUGAUGAGAAGAUGUUUAGAUAAGUACAAGUUAGGAAAGUAGCAUAUGACUGGAAACUAUAUUCAGUGCACUUUCUCCAAAAGACUACCCAGAAAAAUAGACUUAUUUUCAAAUACCAGUUAUCAAGAUAUAUUAAAUAGCUGUAUUAUUUAGAAUCUUAAUAUGGUAUAAAUUAGCAAAUGUAUUCACAAUAUUCAUUCAAACAUCAUUCCCAGACAGCAGGGAUUUAUUUAAAUGUUAGUUGUCUCAGAGUUUUUAAAUAGCUAAUACGACCAGGUACAGCGGUUCAUGUCUGUAAUCCCAGCACUUUGGGAGGCCGAGACAGGCAGAUCACGAGGUCAACAGAUUGAGACCAUCCUGGCAAACAUGGUGAAACCCCAUCUCUAGUAAAAAUACAAAAAUUAGCUGGGCGUGGUGGUGCGCACCUGUAGUCCCAGCUACUCGGGAGGCUGAGGCAGGAGAAUCGCUUGAACCUGGGAGGUGUAGGUUGCGGUGAGCUGAGUUUGAGCAACUGCACUCCAGCUUGGUGACAGAGCAAGACCCCCUCUCAAAAAUAAAUAAAAUAAAAUAAAAUAAAUAUAAAUAAUUGUGGCCGGGUGCAAUAGCUCAUGCCUGUAAUCCCAACACUUUGGGAGGCUGAGAUGGGAGGAUCACUUGAAGCCAGGAGUUUAAAACCAGAAUGGUCAACAGAGUGAGACCCCUGUCUAUAUAUUUUUUUAAUUAAAAAAAUAAAAGAAUAAAAUUGUGUAGCUUAGUAUAGUAUCAAGAUUAAUCUGCCUACUCACAUUUCUACACUAUAAAAAUGUAAUAAAAGAAAAUUCUCUUUC
rnacentral:sRNA from 1 species